rnacentral:rRNA from 1 species
UCAAGCUACAAAGAGCGUAAGGGGAAUGCCUUGGCACCAGGAGCCGACGAAGGACGCAGCGAUCUGCGAAAAGCCACGGGGAGCCGAAAGCAGGCUUUGAUCCGUGGAUAUCCGAAUGGGGAAACCCGCAUGGUUAAUAGCCAUGCGACGUAUACUGAAUAAAUAGGUAUGCGUCGGGAACCGUCUGAACUGAAACAUCUAAGUAGGACGAGGAAAAGAAAUCAACCGAGAUUCCGUAAGUAGUGGCGAGCGAACACGGAAGAGGCCAAACCGAAGGUAGCAAUAUCUUCGGGGUACGGACAGUAAACGGCAUUGCGGUAUCUUAGCAGAAGUGCAUGGGACGGCACACCAUAGAGAGUGAUAGUCUCGUAAGCGAAAAGAGAAGGCAGCCAACUGUAUCCAGAGUACCGCCGGACACGUGAAACCCGGUGGGAACAUGGGGGGACCAUCCUCCAAGCCUAAAUACUCCCUGGUGACCGAUAGAGAACAGUACUGUGAAGGAAAGGUGAAAAGAACCCCGGGAGGGGAGUGAAAAGAACCUGAAACCUUAUGCUUACAAGCACCGAGAGCCCAUCAAAGGGUGAUCGGGUACCUUUUGUAGAAUGGUCCGGCGAGUGAAUGUAACUGGCAAGGUUAAGCACUUCAGGUGUGGAGCCGAAGCGAAAGCAAGUCUUAAUAGGGCGUCAAGUCAGUUGUAUUCGACCCGAAACCGUGUGACCUAGCCAUGAGCAGGCUGAAGUGGAGGUAAAACUCCAUGGAGGGCCGAACCCACUCCCGUUGAAAUGGUAGGGGAUGACUUGUGGCUAGCGGAGAAAUUCCAAUCGAACUCGGAGAUAGCUGGUUCUCUCCGAAAUAGCUUUAGGGCUAGCCUCAAUUAACAUUACCGCAGGUAAAGCACUGAAUGGGCUAGGGGGCGAAAGCUUACUGAACCCUAUCAAACUAAGAAUGGCGGAUAAUGAAUAAUUGGGAGUCACACUACGUGAGAUAAGUUUCGUGGUGGAAAGGGAAACAGCCCAGACCCACAGCUAAGGUCCCAAAGUACAGUUAAGUGGAAAAGGAUGUGAAGUUGCGCAGACAACCAGGAUGUUGGCUCAGAAGCAGCCACUCAUUCAAAGAGUGCGUAAUAGCUCACUGGUCGAGUGAUUUUGCGCCGAAAAUUUAACGGGGCUAAACUGUACACCGAAGCUUGGGAAUAUACCUUAUGGUAUGUUGGUAGGAGAGCGUCGUAUGCGGGGUGAAGUCGUAGCGAAAGCGGCGGUGGACUGCAUAGGAGUGAGAAUGCCGGAAUGAGUAGCGAGAAUUAUGUGAGAAUCAUAAUGGCCGAAAGACUAAGGUUUUAGAAGGAAGGUUCGUCCGCUUCUAGUUAGCCGGGAGCUAAGGCGAGGCCGAAAGGCGUAGUCGAUGCACAUACGGUUGAGAUUCCGUAGCCACCUUAAAUUUAAACUAAGGGACACAUUGAAAGGGAAUAACCCAGGCGUUGGUUGACCUGGGCGUAAGGGAACGAAAAUAAGUAGUGAAGUAUUCUUGGACAGUGGCGAGAAAAGCUUAGUGUAUAUUAUUAGGGUGCCCGUACUGCAAACCGACACAGGUAGUCAGGAAGAGAAUUCUAAGGCCAUCGGGAGAAGCGUUGUUAAGGAACUCGGCAAAUUGACCCCGUAACUUCGGAAUAAGGGGUGCUCACGAGAGUGAGCCGCAGUGAAUAGGUCCAGGCAACUGUUUAUCAAAAACACAGCUCUCUGCUAAAUCGUAAGAUGACGUAUAGGGGGUGACACCUGCCCGGUGCUGGAAGGUUAAGAGGAGGAGUGCAAGCCCCGAAUCGAAGCCCCAGUAAACGGCGGCCGUAACUAUAACGGUCCUAAGGUAGCGAAAUUCCUUGUCGGGUAAGUUCCG